rnacentral:rRNA from 1 species
UACGGGGGGAGCAAGCGUUGUUCGGAUUUACUGGGCGUAAAGGGCGCGUAGGCGGCCACCUCAAGUCAGUUGUGAAAUCUCUGGGCUUAACCCAGAACGGUCAGCUGAUACUGCGGGGCUAGAGUGCAGAAGGGGCAACUGGAAUUCUCGGUGUAGCGGUGAAAUGCGUAGAUAUCGAGAGGAACACCUGCGGCGAAGGCGGGUUGCUGGGCUGACACUGACGCUGACAGCGCGAAAGCCAGGGGAGCAAACGGG